UACGUAGGGUGCGAGCGUUAAUCGGAAUUACUGGGCGUAAAGCGUGCGCAGGCGGUUUUGUAAGCCUGAUGUGAAAGCCCCGGGCUCAACCUGGGAAUGGCAUUUGGGACUGCAAGGCUUGAGUGCGGCAGAGGAGACUGGAAUUCCUGGUGUAGCAGUGAAAUGCGUAGAUAUCAGGAGGAAUACCGAUGGCGAAGGCAGGUCUCUGGGCUGACACUGACGCUCAUGCACGAAAGCGUGGGGAGCAAACAGG
rnacentral:rRNA from 1 species